rnacentral:lncRNA from 1 species
AACAAAACGCACUUUAGACCGUAUGUAAUUAUAAAUACAGUGUAGUUGGAGAUACAUUAGUUAGAAAUGCAGCAAUUAUAGUUAUAUUGAUCUUGUUUAGUUGGAUGCAGUAGAAAGUAUUACAGUUAUAAAUACUUUGUUUGGUUGUAUGCGGCUGAGAAGUAUACUAACGAAUUUUUACCAUUUUAUAUAUAGAGUUGUGAUGUUAUCCCCUAUGUAGGAGUGAAAAGUGAAACUUUUUAAAAGGUUAUUAGAAAGGUAAGCUUACGUGUACUUUUUUCAAGUGCUGCAGUUUCAAUUUGGGCGUAGUUCCGACUGUUACAGUUGAGACUUCUUAUGUACAGUUACAACUGCAGUGCAGUUACUCUUACGUACAACCAAACAGCCCUUAAAGUAAAUACCGUCGUUACAAGGUAAAAUGAAACCUCUGGCGCUAAGUUCCUUUAUUCUUGUCAAAAAGAAGCUCACCUAACAUAGGAAUUUGUCAAUUAUAUUUUUCAAUAUCUAUAAAAGAGGAUGUGGAAAC